rnacentral:rRNA from 1 species
GACAGAGGGUGCAACCGUUGUUCGGAAUUACUGGGCGUAAAGCGCGUGUAGGCUGCUCGGAAAGUCGGGUGUGAAAGCCCUGGGCUCAACCUAGGAAGUGCACUCGAAACUUCCGAGCUGGAGUGCUGGAGAGGAAGGCGGAAUUCUCGGUGUAGAGGUGAAAUUCGUAGAUAUCGAGAGGAACACCGGUGGCGAAGGCGGCCUUCUGGACAGCCACUGACGCUGAGACGCGAAAGCGUGGGGAGCAAACAGG